UACGUAGGGUGCAAGCGUUAAUCGGAAUUACUGGGCGUAAAGCGUGCGCAGGCGGUUUUGUAAGUCAGAUGUGAAAUCCCCGGGCUUAACCUGGGAACUGCGUUUGAAACUACAAGGCUAGAGUGUGGCAGAGGGGGGUGGAAUUCCGCGUGUAGCAGUGAAAUGCGUAGAGAUGCGGAGGAACACCGAUGGCGAAGGCAGCCCCCUGGGCUAACACUGACGCUCAGGCACGAAAGCGUGGGGAGCAAACAGG
rnacentral:rRNA from 1 species